UACGGAGGGUGCGAGCGUUGUCCGGAAUCAUUGGGCGUAAAGGGCGCGUAGGUGGCCCGGUCAGUCCGUGGUGAAAGCGCGGGGCUCAACCCCGCGUCGGCCAUGGAUACUGCUGGGCUGGAGCACUGUAGAGGCAGGCGGAAUUCCGGGUGUAGCGGUGGAAUGCGUAGAGAUCCGGAAGAACACCGGUGGCGAAGGCGGCCUGCUGGGCAGUUGCUGACGCUGAGGAGCGAAAGCGUGGGGAGCGAACAGG
rnacentral:rRNA from 1 species